GACGAACGCUGGCGGCGUGCUUAACACAUGCAAGUCGAACGGAAAGGCCCUGCUUUUGUGGGGUGCUCGAGUGGCGAACGGGUGAGUAACACGUGAGUAACCUGCCCUUGACUUUGGGAUAACUUCAGGAAACUGGGGCUAAUACCGGAUAGGAGCUCCUGCUGCAUGGUGGGGGUUGGAAAGUUUCGGCGGUUGGGGAUGGACUCGCGGCUUAUCAGCUUGUUGGUGGGGUAGUGGCUUACCAAGGCUUUGACGGGUAGCCGGCCUGAGAGGGUGACCGGCCACAUGGGGACUGAGAUACGGCCCAGACUCCAACGGGAGGCAGCAGUGGGGAAUAUUGCACAAUGGGCGGAAGCCUGAUGAAGCAACGCCGCGUGCGGGAUGACGGCCUUCGGGUUGUAAACCGCUUUCGCCUGUGACGAAGCGUGAGUGACGGUAAUGGGUAAAGAAGCACCGGCUAACUACGUG
rnacentral:rRNA from 1 species